rnacentral:tRNA from 1 species
GCCCGGGUAGACGAAUUGGCAUAGUCAGUGGCCUUAAAAGCCACGGUCUCCACGGAGCGUGCGGGUUCGAGUCCCGCCCCGGGUA